GUUUAACAAAAACAUGUCUUUUUGAUUAUAAUUUAAAGUCUGGCCUGCCCAAUGAAUAAUUUAAAUGGCCGCGGUAUAUUGACUGUGCAAAGGUAGCAUAAUCAUUAGUUUUUUAAUUGAAAGCUGGAAUGAAAGGUUGGAUGAAAAAAUAACUGUCUCUAUUUAAAUUUAUUAGAAUUUUAUUUUUAAGUAAAAAAGCUUAAAUUUAAAUGAAAGACGAGAAGACCCUAUAGAGUUUUAUAUUUUUUUAAAAAUAUAAUUUUUAGAAUUUUGAGUUUAAAUUUUUAAGGAAUAUUUAAUUGGGGUGAUUGAAAAAUUAAAAAAACUUUUUUUAUAUUUUUACAUUUAUUUAUGAAAAUAUGAUCCUUAGAUAAAGAUUAUAAGAUUAAAUUACCUUAGGGAUAACAGCGUAAUUUUUUUUAAGAGUUCUAAUCGAAAAAAAAGAUUGCGACCUCGAUGUUGGAUUAAAA
rnacentral:rRNA from 1 species